GGGCCCGCACAAGCGGUGGAGCAUGUGGUUUAAUUCGAUGAUACGCGAGGAACCUUACCAGGGCUUAAAUGUAAGUUGCAUAGAUCAGAGAUGGUCUUUUCUUCGGACUACUUACAAGGUGCUGCAUGGUUGUCGUCAGCUCGUGCCGUGAGGUGUCAGGUUAAGUCCUAUAACGAGCGAACCCCCUGUCGUUAGUUACCAGCAAGUAAUGUUGGGUACUCUAGCGAGACUGCCGGUGCAAAACCGUGAGGAAGGUGGGGAUGACGUCAAAUCAUCACGGCCCUUACGUCCUGGGCUACACACGUGCUACAAUGGCCGGUACAGAGAGCAGCCACUACGCGAGUAGGAGCG
rnacentral:rRNA from 1 species